AACGAACGCUGGCGGCAGGCCUAAUACAUGCAAGUCGAACGCUCGUAGCAAUACGAGAGUGGCAGACGGGUGAGUAACACGUGGGAACCUUCCCUAUGGUUCGGAAUAGCUCAGGGAAACUUGAGGUAAUACCGGAUAAGCCCUUACGGGGAAAGAUUUAUCGCCAUUGGAUGGGCCCGCGUCGGAUUAGCUAGUUGGUGGGGUAACGGCCUACCAAGGCGACGAUCCGUAGCUGGUCUGAGAGGANGAUCAGCCACACUGGGACUGAGACACGGCCCAGACUCCUACGGGAGGCAGCAGUAGGGAAUAUUGGACAAUGGGCGCAAGCCUGAUCCAGCCAUGCCGCGUGAGUGACGAAGGCCUU
rnacentral:rRNA from 1 species